rnacentral:rRNA from 1 species
GAUGAACGCUGGCGGCGUGCUUAACACAUGCAAGUCGAACGGAAAGGCCCCAGCUUGCUGGGGUACUCGAGUGGCGAACGGGUGAGUAACACGUGGGUGAUCUGCCCUGCACUUUGGGAUAAGCUUGGGAAACUGGGUCUAAUACCGAAUAUGACCACUUCUUGGAUGUUGUGGUGGAAAGCUUUUGCGGUGUGGGAUGAGCCUGCGGCCUAUCAGCUUGUUGGUGGGGUAAUGGCCUACCAAGGCGGCGACGGGUAUCCGGCCUGAGAGGGUGUACGGACACAGUGGGACUGAGCUACGGCCCAGACUCCUACGGGAGGCAGCAGUGGGGAAUAUUGCACAAUGGGCGCAAGCCUGGUGCAGCGACGCCGCGUGGGGGAUGAAGGCCUUCGGGUUGUAAACUCCUUUCGCUAUCGACGAAGCCACUUGUGGUGACGGUAGGUAGAUAAGAAGCACCGGCUAACUACGUGCCAGCCGCCGCAGUAA